AGUUUCUAACAAAUAAGACGGUCCUAUUUUAAACGCUUAGAGCGCGUAUUAUUUAUUGUCUUAACGAAUAUAAAUUCAGUUACAGAUAUUGCCAAUUUUUUAAAUGAACUAAAAAUAAGAAGCUGAAGUGUGCAAUAGUUAAUGCGAAGCUAAAAGUCCAACGUUUUCCCUUCAAUUUGUUCUAUUUCAGCUUUUCGAUUUAUGCACUAAAAUCAAGAUCAAAGAUCUGUACGGGAAGCAAAAUGAAAACUUGAUAAAAGGCAAAUGUGCUACUUCCAAAUCUGAAAUCAAGUGCUACGUUUGGACAUCAAAAUUGUGAGAGCUACGUUUUUAUGAGGCGUUUUAAAUUAGUUUGGAUUUUUCUUCAUUACAUUUUACCCACUUUUGGUUCAAAAAUAACACAUUUAUAUUAAUUCUUCUGGUAAUGUAAAUAUGUAUAUUACUUAAUAAGUUUAAAUAUUUUUCAGAUGAUAAAUAAAAUCGGAUCAAUGUAUAGAUGCUUGUACUGCCUUCCAACAUUUAAUCAUAUUAGAAUUGUUUGUUAACAGAAAUCGAAAAAACUACAAAUUUUCCACUAUCCGAUAAAUAUGUAAGAUUGAAUAGAGGUUAUUUGAAAAAGUAAGAAAAUAGGGAGUAAUGUGAAGAGAACGUGCGACCUGCGAAAAAUUUUAUUGUUGAUGUUAAUUUUGCAAAUCUGUUAAACAUGUGUAUUUUUUAAAUAAUUUGAAUAUCGGCCACUCUUAAACAAGACCACAAAUUAAAUUGAAUUUCUACAAAAAAUCAGCAUUUAUUAGUUUGUAACCGCGUAAAAAUCAUAAUUUUUCAAUCAACUGCUUAAAAGUAACGACGAAAAAAUAAUUUGAUGCCUUGAUAAUAUUUAGCGCCCCACUUUCUAGGGACACUGUUUAAGGCAAAUAUUUUCGAGGUUGAUUGAUUGAAUCGUUUCCGGUGCCCUAUUUUUGCUAAAUACAAUAAAUCAAUGGCUGUGUGCACAUCAUUGGGCAGUCUGUCUCUAGCCUGUGGACAGCCCAAUACAGCUGAGAGAUCCCAAGGUACCGACCAUUGAGCCAAAUGGAGCAAAAACAGCUCUUUCCAGGACUCUUGGAGCAGUAGAAGUUGAUCGUUUUUGCUCAGCGUCUGGAACGGCGCUAGACAUCGAACCCAACGUACUGCCAUAAAAAGUAGACGGGCUGUUGUUUCCUAAUAGAUGAAAAUUAAUUUUGUCACAUUUCUUUAGCAGAAAAAUUGAAUAAUUUUUUGUUUAGUGGUGGAGAUACUGUAUGUGUAACUCAAAUGUUUCGAAAUAAACCGUGCAAAACGAA